rnacentral:rRNA from 1 species
GACGAACGCUGGCGGCGUGCUUAACACAUGCAAGUCGAACGGAAAGGCCCUGCUUUUGUGGGGUGCUCGAGUGGCGAACGGGUGAGUAACACGUGAGUAACCUGCCCUGUCCUUUGGGAAACCUUAGGGAACUGGGGCCUAUACCCGGUAAGAGGUUCCGCCUCCUUGGGGGGGUUGGAAAAUUUCGGCGGUUUGGGAUGGAAUCGCGGCUUAUCAGCUUGUUGGUGGGGUUGUUGCUUACCAAGGCUUUGACGGGUAGCCGGCCUGAGAGGGUGACCGGCCACAUUGGGACUGAGAUACGGCCCAGAAUCCUACGGGAGGCAGCAGUGGGGAAUAUUGCACAAUGGGCGGAAGCCUGAUGCAGCAACGCCGCGUGCGGGAUGACGGCCUUCGGGUUGUAAACCGCCUUCGCCUGUGACGAAGCGUGAGUGACGGUAAUGGGUAAAGAAGCACCGGCUAACUACGUG